rnacentral:rRNA from 1 species
GAUGAACGCUAGCGGCAGGCCUAAUACAUGCAAGUCGAACGGGAUUGCGGUAGUAGCUUGCUACUACUGCAUGAGAGUGGCGCACGGGUGCGUAACGCGUGAGCAACCUACCCAUAUCAGGGGGAUAGCCCGGCGAAAGUCGGAUUAACACCGCAUAACAUCAACAGUUCGCAUGUUCAGUUGAUUAAAUAUUUAUAGGAUAUGGAUGGGCUCGCGUGACAUUAGCUAGUUGGUAGGGUAACGGCUUACCAAGGCAACGAUGUCUAGGGGCUCUGAGAGGAGAAUCCCCCACACUGGUACUGCGACACGGACCAGACUCCUACGGGAGGCAGCAGUAAGGAAUAUUGAUCAAUGGGCGCAAGCCUGAACCAGCCAUGCCGCGUGCAGGAGGACUGCCCUAUGGGUUGUAAACUGCUUUUAUCAGGGAAUAAACCCCUUUACGAGUAGAGGGUUGAAUGUACCUGAAGAAUAAGGAUCGGCUAACUCCGUG